rfam:Myotis davidii contig81823, whole genome shotgun sequence.
GGUAGUUCUCAAGUGACACACCCUGGAAUCGGGCUCCCUCCUCUCUGGUUCCAGGUGUGUCACCUGAGAACCACA